rnacentral:rRNA from 1 species
GAUGAACGCUGGCGGCGUGCCCAAACAUGCAAGUCGAGCGGGCUAUGUAAUAUCGCAAGGUAGAACAUAGCCUAGCGGCGAACGGGUGAGUAACACGUGGGUAACCUGACCUGGAAGACAGGGAUAACGAUUCGAAAGGGUCGCUAAUACCUGAUAAUAUCCUUUCAUCGCAUGGUGAUAGGAAGAAAGGGGAAACCCGCUUUCAGAUGGGCCCGCGUCCCAUCAGCUAGUUGGUAAGGUAAAGGCUUACCAAGGCGACGACGGGUAGCCGGUCUGAGAGGAUGUACGGCCACACUGGGACUGAGAUACGGCCCAGACUCCUACGGGAGGCAGCAGUUGGGAAUCUUAGGCAAUGGACGAAAGUCUGACCUAGCGACGCCGCGUGAGGGAAGAAGGCCUUCGGGUUGUAAACCUCUGUCAUGGGGGAAGAAGUAAGUGACGGUACCCCAAGAGGAAGCCCCUGCUAACUACGUG